rnacentral:rRNA from 1 species
CAGUAGCCGCGGGAAUACGAAGGGGGCUAGCGUUGUUCGGAAUCACUGGGCGUAAAGCGCACGUAGGCGGACUUUUAAGUCAGGGGUGAAAUCCCAAGGCUCAACCUUGGAACUGCCUUUGAUACUGGAAGUCUUGAGUUCGGGAGAGGUGAGUGGAACUGCGAGUGUAGAGGUGAAAUUCGUAGAUAUUCGCAAGAACACCAGUGGCGAAGGCGGCUCACUGGCCCGAUACUGACGCUGAGGUGCGAAAGCGUGGGGAGCAAACAGGAUUAGAUACCCCAGUAGUCCCUGUCUCUUAUAA